rnacentral:rRNA from 1 species
CGACUGUUUAUCAAAAACACAGGGCUCUGCGAAAUCGAAAGAUGAAGUAUAGGGCCUGACACCUGCCCGGUGCCGGAAGGUUAAAGGGAGACGUCAGCCACUUGUGGUGAAGCGUUGAACUGAAGCCCCGGUAAACGGCGGCCGUAACAAUAACGGUCCUAAGGUAGCGAAAUUCCUUGUCGGGUAAGUUCCGACCUGCACGAAUGGCGUAACGACUUCCCCACUGUCUCCAACAUAGACUCAGCGAAAUUGAAUUCCCCGUGAAGAUGCGGGGUACCC